UACAGAGGUCUCGAGCGUUGUUCGGAUUCAUUGGGCGUAAAGGGCGCGUAGGCGGCGGGGUAAGUCUGGUGUGAAAUCUCGGAGCUCAACUCCGAAAUUGCACUGGAUACUGCUCUGCUAGAGGGCUGGAGAGGAGAUCGGAAUUCACGGUGUAGCAGUGAAAUGCGUAGAUAUCGUGAGGAAGACCAGUGGCGAAGGCGGUUCUCUGGGACGGUACUGACGCUGAGACGCGAAAGCGUGGGGAGCGAACAGG
rnacentral:rRNA from 1 species